GAGUCUUGCUCUGUCACCCAGUCUGGAGUGCAGUGGUGUGAUCUCGGCUCACUGCAACCUCCACGUCCUGGGUUCACGCAAUUCUCCUGCCUCAGCCUUCCAAGUAGCUGGGAUUACAGACAUGUGCCACCAUGCCUGGCUAAUUUUUGUAUUUUUAGUAGAGACGGGGUUUCACUGUGUUGGUCAGGCUGGUCUCAAACUCCUGACCUCAAGUGAUCCACCCCCCUCGGCCUCCCAAAGUGCUAGGAUUACAGGCAUGAGCCACCAUGUCUGGCCCUACUUUUCUUUUAUGCCUUCUUUUUGGAUUAAUCAAAUAUUUAGUUUCAUUACCCCACUAUUAACUUUUUCUAUUAUAUAUUCUUUUUUUAAUUAAGUGAUUACCCUUGGGUUGUUACAUACAUCCUGAACUUCUUAUAGUAAAUAUACAUGAUUAAUUUAACCUCUUUCCUAGCAAUGCUCAGAUUUCAGAACAUUAUAAUUCCAUUUAGUCUAUUCUACCUUUUGUUUUAUUGUUUUCAUGUAUUUUAAUCCUAAACAUAUUUUACACCUCACAAUAUAUUAGUGUUGUAUAUCCUCAAUAUUCAUUUAGAUUAAUCCAUAUAAUUACUCUUUCUAUUGUCUUUCACUCCUUGCUGAAUUUCUAGGUUUUUAUCUGAAAUUAUUUUCCUUCUGCCUGAAGAACUACCUUUUAUAGUAAUUUUAGUAUAAUUCUGCUUAGGAAGUAUUCUCUGUUCUUGUUUUUCUGACAACAUUUUCAUUUCUCCUUCAUUUUUGCAGGAUAUUUUUGCUAGGUGUAUUUUCUGGGUCUGUAAUUCUAGAUUACCAGUUACUUUUCUCACUACUUAUAUUCUCACUGCCACCAUUUUAUUGAAAGUCAGCACCAAAUCAAUUAAAAACUGAAGGUAAUAUUUCUCCCCCUCAGGCUGUUAUAAAUUUUUUUCUUUGAACUUGGUUUUUAUUAGUGUUACUGUAAUGUGCCAAGAUGUGACUUUCUUUAUAUUCAUCCUGCUUGGGAUUUUCAGGAAUUCAUGCAUCAGUGGCUUUAUGUCUUUCAUUAGUUUUGGGAAAAUUUUAGCCAAUAACUUUUCAAAGAUCAUCUCUUCCCUAUUCUCUCUUUCUCUCUCUGCUCUCCUUUUGGAACUCCAAUUAUGAAAGUUAGAUUUGUUCAUGUUAUUCCUUAUGUUUCUUAUGUUCUUUUUUAUAUUUUCCAUCUUUUUCCCUCUCUGAGUGUCAGCUCUGCGAUAAGGUAGUCUUGAGGACUUCUGUCUGCUGGAAGGAACUGAUCUGACUUGGAGAACCUCAAAAAAGCUCUAUCUCUGGGUAUUCAUGAAAAGAAUAGCAAUUAGAAGCAAUCUGCUCAAAGUCAGCAUUGCAACUGCUUAGGGCUACAAUAUAGGUUGAGGCACCAAGAGACUAGCAAAUAUUUUAUAGAGUUACCUGAGAAACAAGAGAGCCACAGGGGACUUUGAUAAGCUCUAUAAUAUGUUUGUAAUGUUCCUGGGGAUUUAGAAGGUUGUGUGCAUGUUCAAGGCUGCAUGCAUGUUCAGGAAACACCAACAGGGGCCCCAGUUACUUAUUCAUCUCUUACUGACCUUGGAGCUCAGUUAAGCAGGAAAUGAAGCCUAAGGCAAAUUUAUAAACUGCCUGAACUUUGAAGGCAUGUGGAAACUCAUAAACAGCUUCCCUCAGCCAGUUGCAGAAGAUUUACUUAUUCAAGUCGUUUAAGAAAACCUAACCAAUCAUUGUCUGACCCCUGAAGUAUAUAAACAUAGGGCAACCCUUAGGAAGUUAGGCUUAAAAAUAGAAACAAGAAUUUUUUUAAAAAGUGAGCAUAGAUGUCUGUGGCAGCAUACUGCAGGGACUCUAUAGAACUAGCCUAGGUAAAUUGCUAAACAGACAACAACAAACCCUGGUGUGGAUGGAGUCAUAAAAUUUCAUAGUCAUUUAAAUACUCUGGUAUUUAGCAAAAAAAAAAAUCUAAAAUGUAUAAUUUUUGAUAACAAAGUACAACACAUGCAAAGAAACAGGAGACUGGCCCAUACUAUCUGAAGAGCAUACUUAGUAGAGAAAACCUUUAAAUCAGCUUAUUAUAAAUAUGUUUGGAAAAUUAAAGAAAACCACUUUUAAAUAAUUUAAAACAAAUACAAAAACAAUGCCUCAUUAGACAGACAAUAUCAGUAGAAAGAAAUUAAAGAACCAAAGAGAAACUCUGGAAUUAAAAAGUACAGUAACAAAUAAAAAACUUAAUAGAAGGUUCACAGCAAGUUUAGGCUGAAAAACGGAAUCAGUGAACUUGAAGAUAGGUCAAUAGACGUUAUCCAGUCUAAAGAAACAAACAAACAAAAGAACUUUAAAAAAGGAACAGUGUCAGAAACAAUGAAAAACAAUUGGCAUGCCAACAUAUGCAAAAUAGAAGUUCCAAAAGGAGAGAAGGGAGAAAGAAGAAAAAUAAACUAUUGAAGAUAUAGUAGCUGAAAAUGUCCCAAGUUUGCUGGAAACAAUAAUCUACACAUCCAAAAAGUUUAAAGAACUCCAAGUAGCCUAAACAUAAAGAGAUCCACACCUAGACAUAUCAUAGUCAAACCAUCAAAAGUCAAAUAAAAGAGAAAAUCUUAGAAAAAUCUGGAUAUAUAAUUCUUGGUGGUUAGUUUCUUCUUUUUCUUUCAAUACUUUGAAUAUGUCAAUUUAUUGACUUCUGAGCUCCAUUAUUUCUGAUAAAAAGUAAGUUGUUAAUCUUACUGAGUAUUUCUCAUAUGUGAAUAAUUUUUUUUUUGUUUGCUACUGCUAAGAUCUUCCUCCAUCCCUUUAUUUUGAGCCUAUGUGUGUCUCUGCACGUGAGAUAGGUUUCCUGUCUUUACAAAAAAUUUAACAAUUAUCCAGGUGUGGUGGUGUGUACCUGUAGUCCCAGCUACUUGAGAGGUUGAGGUGGGAGGGUCACUCAAGCCUGGGAGGCAGAGGUUGCAGUGAGCCACUGCACUCCAGCCUAGGGUGGCAGAGCAAGACCCUGUCUCAAUAGCAACAAAACAAAGAUAUCCCUAGAGGAUAUCAUUGGUUUCUUUGGGUAUGCCCUAUGUAAAUGGAGAGGAUGAAGUAAAGUUACAAAGUCAUUUAUUCAGUGUAUGCCAUAGCUGAAGUGUGAAUUGGCCUUAUGUUCCUUAUCUCCAUACCCUAUUUUCCUGCCUCACCACCACUUACCCAAAGUCAACCAAUCAGUGCUGCAGUCUAUUUCCUGGGGGAUCUCCUCAGUUUCGUCCCUUCAUGGUUGCCAGAAAGAUGUUACCCAGAAAGGGGUCUCAAGCCAGACCCCAAGAGAGGGUUCCUGGGUCUCAAGAAAGAAAGAAUUCAGAGGGAGUACAUAAAGUGAAAACAAGUUUAUUAAGAAAGUACAGGAAUAAAAGAAUGGCUACUCCAUAGACAUUGCAGCCCUAGGGCUGCUGGGUGCCCAUUUUUAUCCUUCCUUCCUUCCUUCCUUCCUUCCUUCCUUCCUUCCUUCCUUCCUUCCUUCCUUCCUGCCUUCCUUCCUUCUUUCCUUUUCUUUCUUUCUUUCUCUUUCUUUCUUUCUUUCUUUCUUUCUUUCUUUCUUUCUUUCUUUCUUUCUUUCUCUUUCUCCCUCCCUCUCUCUCUCUCUCUCUUUCUUUCUCUUUUUGAGUCAGAGUCUCUCUCUGUCACCCAGGCUGGAGUGCAGUGGUGUGAUCUCGGCUCACUGCAACCUCCACCUCCUGAGUUCACGCCAUUCUCCUGCUUCAGCCUCCUGAGUAGCUGGGACUACAGGUGCCCACCACCACGCCUGGCUAAUUUUUUUUUUUUUUUGUAUUUUAGUAGAGACAGGGUUUCACCCUGUUGCCCAGGAUGGUCUCGAUCUCCUGACCUCAUGAUCCACCCGCCUCGGCUUCCCAAAGUGCUGGGAUUACAGGCAUGAGCCACUGCGUCCAGAAACAGGGGUCUCAUUAUGUUGCCAGGGGUGGUCUCAAACUCCUGGGUUCAAGCGAUCAUCCUGCCUUGGCCUCCCAAAGUUCUGGGAUUACAGACGGUCUCACUCUAUUGCCCAGGCUGGAGUGCAGUGCUGCAAUCAUGGCUCGCUGAAGGCUUGACCCUCCAGGCUCAAGCAAGCCUCCCACAUCAGCCUCCCAAGUAGCUGAGACUACAGAUAUGACCUGCUCCUCCUUGUUUUUGCCAUGAUUGUGAGGCUGCCCCAGCCAUGUGGAACCGACAGCAGCAGCGGGCGGGACAGCAGGGACAGCGGAUGUAGCAGCAGCAAUACUGAGGACAGCACUGGCACCAGCACACUCCAAUCAGCAGCA